UCUUGACAUAUCUUACUUGGAUAACUGUGGUAAUUCUAGAGCUAAUACAUGCACCAAAGCUCUAACCUGACGGAAAGAGUGCAUUUAUUAGAGCAAAACCAGGCGACUUCGGUCGAUUUUUGCUGACUCAGAAUAACUUAGCUGAUCGCACGGUCUAUGAACCGGCGACGUGUCUUUUGAGUAUCUGCCUUAUCAAUUUUCGAUGGUAGUGUAUUUGACUACCAUGGUGUUGACGGGUAACGGAGAAUAAGGGUUCGACUCCGGAGAAGGGGCCUGAGAAAUGGCCACUACGUCUAAGGAUGGCAGCAGGCGCGCAAAUUACCCACUCUCGGAAUGAGGAGGUAGUGACGAGAAAUAACGAGACCGUUCUCUAUGAGGCCGGUUAUCGGAAUGGGUACAAUCUAAACCCUUUAACGAGUAUCUAUGAGAGGGCAAGUCUGGUGCCAGCAGCCGCGGUAAUUCCAGCUCUCAAAAUGCAUAGAACCAUUGCUGCGGUUAAAAAGCUCGUAGUUGAAUCUGUGCCAUAGGUUUGGUUCGUCUUUUCGACGCCUACUAAAUCCUGUGGCUUUUCGUCGGUUUUCUUGUUGUGACCUUUGUUGGUGGCGGCAAGUGGCUGACAAUUUUACUUUGAACAAAUCAGAGUGCUCAACACAGGCGUUUUGCUUGUAUGCUUUUGCAUGGAAUAAUGGAAUAUGACUUCGGUCUAGUUUUAUUGGUUUUAUAGGUCGUUGUAAUGAUUAAAAGAGACAAACGGGGGCAUUCGUAUUGUUGCGUGAGAGGUGAAAUUCUUGGACCGUAGCAAGACGACCUACAGCGAAAGCAUUUGCCAAGCUUGUCUUCAUAAUCAAGAACGAAAGUCAGAGGAUCGAAGCGCA
rnacentral:rRNA from 1 species